AUUGAACGCUGGCGGAAUGCUUUACACAUGCAAGUCGAACGGCGGCACGGGGGCAACCCUGGUGGCGAGUGGCGAACGGGUGAGUAAUACAUCGGAACGUGCCCGGUCGUGGGGGAUAACGUAGCGAAAGUUACGCUAAUACCGCAUACGAUCUGAGGAUGAAAGCGGGGGACCUUCGGGCCUCGCGCGAUCGGAGCGGCCGAUGUCAGAUUAGGUAGUUGGUGGGGUAAAGGCCUACCAAGCCGACGAUCUGUAGCUGGUCUGAGAGGACGACCAGCCACACUGGGACUGAGAUACGGCCCAGACUCCUACGGGAGGCAGCAGUGGGGAAUUUUGGACAAUGGGCGCAAGCCUGAUCCAGCCAUUCCGCGCGCAGGACGAAGGCCUUCGGGUUGUAAACUGCUUUUGUAUGGAACGAAAAGGCUCUGGCUAAUACCUGGGGCUCAUGACGGUACCGUAAGAAUAAGCACCGGCUAACUACGUG
rnacentral:rRNA from 1 species